GACGAACGCUGGCGGCGUGCUUAACACAUGCAAGUCGAACGGAAAGGCCCUGCUUUUGUGGGGUGCUCGAGUGGCGAACGGGUGAGUAACACGUGAGUAACCUGCCCUUGACUUUGGGAUAACUUCAGGAAACUGGGGCUAAUACCGGAUAGGAGCUCCUGCUGCAUGGUGGGGGUUGGAAAGUUUCGGCGGUUGGGGAUGGAUUCGCGGCUUAUCAGCUUGUUGGUGGGGUAGUGGCUUACCAAGGCUUUGACGGGUAGCCGGCCUGAGAGGGUGACCGGCCACAUUGGGACUGAGAUACGGCCCAGACUCCUACGGGAGGCAGCAGUGGGGAAUAUUGCACAAUGGGCGGAAGCCUGAGGCAGCAACGCCGCGUGCGGGAUGACGGCCUUCGGGUUGUAAACCGCUUUCGCCUGUGACGAAGCGUGAGUGACGGUAAUGGGUAAAGAAGCACCGGCUAACUACGUG
rnacentral:rRNA from 1 species